AAGUCGUAACAAGGUUUCCGUAGGUGAACCUGCGGAAGGAUCAUUAUCAUAAUAACGUAUCCACGUAUAAACCAAUUUAACUAUGUGAAUUGUUUAUUUACCUCUCUUUGGAGUAUUUCUUUGGCAUUUUUUUGGAGUACUAGUUUCUCUAAAAAAAUAAAAAAGAAUAUAUAACAAAAAGAGUGAAUUUAAUUUAACUUAUUAACCAAUUGAACCGUAAUUGUUAUUCUUAUUAUUUUAGUACUGAAGUGAUUUUUAUAUUUCUUUGAAUUAAUUUUUGAAGAAAUUGAAAAUUAAAUAUUUUUACGAAAAAUUAAAAAAGAACAACUCUUAGCAACGGAUAUCUUGGUUCUC
rnacentral:misc_RNA from 1 species